rnacentral:rRNA from 1 species
UAACACCAGCAGCGCAAGUGGUAGUCGGCUUUAUUGGGCCUAAAGCGUUCGUAGCCUGACAGUCAAGUCCUUGGGUAAAUCCGGCGGCUUAACCGUCGGAAUUCCAGGGAUACUGGCUGUCUUGAGGCCGGGAGAAGGUGUGGGUACUUCUGGAGUAGGGGUGAAAUCUUCUGAUUCCAGGGGGACCGCCUGUGGUGAAAACGCACACCUAGAACGGGCUUGACGGUGAGGAACGAAGCCCAGGGGAGCGAACGGGAUUAGAUACCCCGGUAGUCCUGGGCGUAAACGAUGUCCGUUUGGUGUUGCAUACUCUACGUGGGUGUGCAGUGCCGGAGCGUAGGCGUUAAACGGACCGCCUGGGGAGUAUGACUGCAAGGUUG